GAAAUGCGAUAAGUAAUGUGAAUUGCAGAAUUCAGUGAAUCAUCGAAUCUUUGAACGCACAUUGCGCCCGCCAGCACUCUGGCGGGCAUGCCUGUUCGAGCGUCAUUUCAACCCUCAGAACCCCUUGCGGGAUCUGGCGUUGGGGAUUGGCAUCCAGCCAGCCCCGAAAUCUAGUGGCGGUCCCUCCGCGACCUCCCCUGUGCAGUAGCGAUACCUCGCAGCGGGACAGCGGUCUGACCACGCCGUAAAACCCCCAACUUCUCAAGGUUGACCUCGAAUCAGGUAGGAAUACGCGCUGAAGAUACGC
rnacentral:misc_RNA from 1 species